GAUGAAGAACGUAGCGAAAUGCGAUAAGUAGUGUGAAUUGCAGAAUUCAGUGAAUCAUCGAAUCUUUGAACGCACCUUGCGCCCUUUGGCUAUUCCGAAGGGCAUGCCUGUUUGAGUAUCAUGAACAUCUCAACUCCUCGCGGUUUGCCCGUGACGAGCUUGGACUUUGGGGGUCUUGCCGGCCUGUGGGUCGGCUCCUCUCAAAUGAAUCAGCUUGCCGGUGUUUGGUGGCGUCACAGGUGUGAUAACUAUCUACGCUUGUGGUUUUCCGCCAGGUAACCUCCAGCAAUGGGGGUUCACUGGAGCUCACAAAUGUCUUUCCUCGGUGAGGACAGCUUUUUGAACGUUUGAUCUCAAAUCAGGUAGGACUACCCGCUGAACUUAAGCAUAUCAAUAAGCGGAGGA
rnacentral:misc_RNA from 1 species